GGGGUGAUUGCACAGGGGCAAUGCUGUUAAUACAGCAUGAGACAUAUCUCUGGAUCCUGGGCCCCAGGUAGGGAUAUUUUGCGUAAGAUGUUCCUCACUGUCUUCAGAGAGUGGGAAAUGGUGUUGGGAGACGCGGGGCUGUGGCUGAGCGGCGUGGAUGAAGCUGUUGCCGUGAGGUUUGUGUGCCCUGUGGCCGUGUGCGGGGCGCUGCCAGCUCUGCCCUCACGCGCCCCGGCCGCGGGGCCGUGCGGCUCACAGAGAGCGCAGAGACCUCUGGAAAACAUCCUCAUCACUCAGCUCUGCCUAAGGGCUCCUUUGUGCCUCAGGGAACACUUCUUAGCCUCACCUGAGAACGUCUUUAAACCUUUUUCCUGGCAGUUGUUGUCCAAGCUAACGAAUUAUUGUGGAAUACAAACAGUUACAGGAGCGGCCUCGUGAGUUCGGCCUGUAUUUUCUGCUGACUGUGGGACUCUCCAGCCCUUCUUUGUAAAGCGAGAGGGCAGCAGUUGUGGGCUGAGAACCAAGUAAUUAUUUCCAGAAUGAAGGAGACUUGGCUACCUGUAAAGCCGUGAGUAAAGGUUGCUUUUGAGCUCUCUUUGUAAGUAAGACUGUCCAGCAGGAAAAAGAAAAACUGAAGUCAGAGCCAGAUUUCCAUGUGAGACAAUCCACCUGGAGAUCAUCUGCACUCCUCUGGAUGGAUAAACCUCACUGAAAUCAGUGCUCUGAGACUGCAGGCACAGCUAUUGAGGACAGCCCAGAUGCAAGCCAGGUCUCGUUUCCAAAGCAUAGAGUGGAUUAAAAGUUAAGCAUCAUCAGAGAGCUGAAGACGAGUUGUAAGCAAAUUGGAUUGAAGGAGCUCUCCUUGCCCUUGUUUCCAAUUCCAGCAUCUGUUCAGUAAAGUACAACCAAAAAGAAGAUCUGGAAAUCUGAAAAUAUGGAAGCAGAAUAACAAUCCAGCAAAGAAUGGUUUCCUGCUGCCUCCCAAGCGUUCUAAAGUGACUUAAAGGAAAAGAUUCAUCAAGAAGGGGAAGCAACCAAGAUGAUACGGUGUCAGAGCAGCUGAGACCAGAAGCAUGAAGGCUGAGAUACCAUGAGAACGGCUGUUCUUGCAA